rnacentral:rRNA from 1 species
UACGUAGGCAGCAAGCGUUGUUCGGAGUUACUGGGCGUAAAGGGUGUGUAGGCGGUUGUUUAAGUUUGGUGUGAAAUCUCCCGGCUCAACCGGGAGGGUGCGCCGAAUACUGAAUAACUAGAGUGCGGGAGAGGAAAGUGGAAUUCCUGGUGUAGCGGUGAAAUGCGUAGAUAUCGAGAGGAACACCAGUGGCGAAGGCGAGUCUCUGGACGACUCCUGACACUGAGGCACGAAAGCUAGGGGAGCAAACAGG